UGCCUCCUCUGCCCUCAUGCCUCCCCGACCAGGGGAGCGAGAGCAGGCAUUGUUAUCCUCACCCUGCAGGCAUACACAAACCGGCACUGACAUCUGAGCAGCCACUACGCACGUUCACUGAAAGAGGACCAAUGGUGACUAAGAGAGGUGCUUCCAACUCUGUCCGGACCAGAGGGUCUGCUGGAAUGUACAGGCACUGGGAAAGGCUGAAGCCUCCUGGGAAAGUGACCACAGACUGACGUCAUCUGGAGAUGAAGACAGGGGAAUCAAGGCCAAGAACCCAGGGACUUCCCUGAGGAGGGCUCCCUAAGAAGGUGGAGCCCACAGCCCGCUAACCUUCCUUCAAUGACAGUGGGGGGCCCCUAACGGGCAUCCUGGGUGCUCGCUCUGGGAC
rnacentral:lncRNA from 1 species